GUAUAUUUUGGUACAAUUCUGGUUGUUUUCUAGUGGUCUACUCCCUCUGUCCCAUAAAGAUAAAUUUUCUAGGAAAAAUAUUUGUCCCACAAAGAUAGAAGUUUUAUAUUUCCAAUGCAAAUUUUAAAACUGUUUUCCCGUUUUAUCCUUACUAAAUAAUUAGAUAAAUAUUUAUUAUUAUUUUUAAAGUAUAUUAAGAGGUUAAAAUUGUCUUUAUACAAUAUUUCUUAAACAAUGUGAAAUUUUUAAAAAAUUCAUCUUAGUGGGACGGAGGGAAUAUCAUUAAUUCAUUAUUAAAAAGUGAGAAGGGAACAAUUUUUCGGCUGAAGGUCUGUGCAUGCUGUUUUGUUUUUCUUAGAAA
rnacentral:sRNA from 1 species